GUUUUUAUUACUGAUUCAUGCCUAUUGAAAAAGAAAUGGGAAAAAGAACAAUCUGGAACUCAACUUUUCUUCUUUUCUUUAUUACUGAUGUUGAAAAUACAUUUAUGAGGUAAGAAAUUGCUAAAAUCUUAGGUAAAGAAAGAGUUAACACUUCAAUACUGUUUUAGACAGUUAUGUCCUAUGUUGCUAGAACUGGGAUAUGAGAAAUUUUUAGCUGAAGAUCUUUCUGCAUUAAACAAAAAUCAGGCCAUUCAUGGACAUCUUCAUAUUUUUUCAGUGUUUACAGGUCGUACAUUUCUAACGUUGAACUGUGGGAUUACAAACAAUUUACCUCCAACAAGAGAAAGACAGAAGCAACUUUUCAACGGUAUGUGUUCAUGUUUCCUAAGCUAUCCUUUUUCUUUCAUAGAGCUAAACACAAAGUACAGUCAGUGCUUUCUAGAUGAUAUUUCAGUCCCUUGAAAGUUUCUAUUGCCAAGAACGAAACUUCUGUACAUUCUGGAGAAAACAAGUAACUUCCUGUUGUAAGAAUAAUUAGUUUAAUCCAUUAUUAUGAUUGCUAGAACUUGGUUGUAAACUCCACAUUCUCCUCUGCUCCUCAAAGCUUCCUAUGACUGCAGAUUGCUUCUUAACUCCCAAUUGCUUUGCAAAAAGAUCAUAAUAUGCUACAGGGUCUACACUUUCCAAUAUUUUCACUAAUUUUCCUUGUUUUUCAUCCACCACAAUUUGUCCAUCUUUGGAUUCAACACCUUCAGCCAGGACCUUAAUGGGCUUCAUUCGCGAGAUUGGAUUCAGCAAGGAGUCCCCAGCCAAGACUACUGCACCAAGAAUUUCCCCCAAGAAUGUGUCCUGCAGAAUAACAUCAUUCUGUAAUAGCAGGAAAAGCAGCAAGCAGGAAAAGCCAAGAAUCAAGAUAUUCAUUGAUGAUAAGACAUGUUACUAACAGAACUUAGUUUAGUUG
rnacentral:lncRNA from 1 species